rnacentral:rRNA from 1 species
UCACAAACUUUUUCUUGCAACUGUAUAUAUAUAUAUAUAUAUAUAUAUAUAUAUAUAUAUAUUUUAUUUAUUUUUUUCAUUGGGGUAGCCACCAAAAUAUUGGGACAUAUAAAAAAGACAACUCUGUUCUGCAGAGUAGCUGUUGACAUUAUAGUUGCGCAGGCACUUUGUUGACUCUAGAGAACCUCGGGCCAAUCACACACCCCCGUGACAGCGACUUUGCAUUUUGAUGUCAUCCAUAUCAACUUUCAAUGCCAGUUUCUGCGCCUACCAUGGUGACCAUGGGUAACGGGGAAUCAGAGUUCCAUUCCGUACAGGGACCCUGAGAAACGGCUACCACAUGCAAGGAAGGUAGCAGGCGCGCAAAUGACCCACUCCCGACGCGGGAAGGUAGUGACGA